rnacentral:rRNA from 1 species
GAUGAACGCUGGCGGCGUGCCUAAUACAUGCAAGUCGAGCGAACAGACGAGGAGCUUGCUCCUCUGACGUUAGCGGCGGACGGGUGAGUAACACGUGGAUAACCUACCUAUAAGACUGGGAUAACUUCGGGAAACCGGAUCUAAUACCGGAUAAUAUAUUGAACCGCAUGGUUCAAUAGUGAAAGACGGUUUUGCUGUCACUUAUAGAUGGAUCCGCGCCGCAUUAGCUAGUUGGUAAGGUAACGGCUUACCAAGGCAACGAUGCGUAGCCGACCUGAGAGGGUGAUCGGCCACACUGGAACUGAGACACGGUCCAGACUCCUACGGGAGGCAGCAGUGGGGAAUCUUCCGCAAUGGGCGAAAGCCUGACGGAGCAACGCCGCGCGAGUGAUGAAGGUCUUCGGAUCGUAAAGCUCUGUUAUUAGGGAGGAACAAAUGUGUAAGUAACUAUGCACGUCUUGACGGUACCUAAUCAGAAAGCCACGGCUAACUACGUG